CCUACGGGAGGCAGCAGUGAGGAAUAUUGGUCAAUGGGCGCGAGCCUGAACCAGCCAAGCCGCGUGAAGGAUGACUGUCCUACGGGUUGUAAACUUCUUUUAUAAAGGAAUCAAGUGACGCACGCGUGCCUUUUUGUAUGUACUUUAUGAAUGCGGAUCGGCUAACUCCGUGCCAGCAGCCGCGGUAAUACGGAGGAUGCGAGCGUUAUCCGGAGUUAUUGGGUGUAAAGGGUGCGGAGAUGGGUUGUUAAGUCAGUUGUGAAAGUUUGCGGCUCAACCGCAAAAUUGCAAUUGAAACUGGCAGUCUUGAGUGCAGGAGAGGUAGGCGGAAUUCGUGGUGUAGCGGUGAAAUGCUUAGAUAUCACGAAGAACUCCGAUGGCGAAGGCAGCUUACUGAACUGCCACUGACGUUGAGGCACGAAAGUGUGGGUAUCAAACAGGAUUAGAUACCCUAGUAGUC
rnacentral:rRNA from 1 species